CGUAGGGACCAAGCGUUGUUCGGAUUUACUGGGCGUAAAGGGCGCGUAGGCGGCAAUUCAAGUCAUCUGUGAAAUCUCCGGGCUUAACCCAGAACUGUCAGAUGAUACUGCUUUGCUAGAGUGCGGAAGGGGCAAUCGGAAUUCUUGGUGUAGCGGUGAAAUGCGUAGAUAUCAAGAGGAACACCUGAGGUGAAGACGGGAUGCUGGGCCGACACUGACGCUGAGUGCGCGAAAGCCAGGGGAGCAAACGGGAUUAGAUACCCCGGUAGUCCUGGCCUUAAACGAUGAAUACUUGGUGUCUGGAGUCUUUAAUGCUCCGGGUGCCGUCGCUAACGUUUUUAGUAUUCCGCCUGGGGAGUACGCUCGCAAGAGUG
rnacentral:rRNA from 1 species